GAUGAACGCUGGCGGCGUGCCUAAUACAUGCAAGUCGAGCGAACGAACUUGAAGCUUGCUUCUCUGAUGUUAGCUUCGUACGGGUGAGUCACACGUGGAUAACCUACCUAUAAGACUUGGAUAACUUCGGGAAACCGGAGCUAAUACCGGAUAAUAUUUUGAACUGCAUGGUUCAAAAGUGAAAGACGGUCUUGCUGUCACUUAUUGAUGUAUCCUCGCUGCAUUAGAUAUUUGGUAAUGUAAGGGCUUACCAAGGCAACGAUGCAUAACCGACCUGCGAGGGUGAUCGGCAACACGGGAAGUGAGGAACGGUCCAGACUCCUACGGGAGGCAGCAGUAGGGAAUCUUACGCAAUGGGCGAAAGCCUGACGGAGCAAAGCCGCGUGAGUGAUGAAGGUCUGCGGAUCGUAAAACUCUGUUAUAAGGGAAGAACAUAUGUGUAAGUAACUGUGCACAUCUUGACGGUACCUAAUCAGAAAGCCACGGCUAAAUACGUG
rnacentral:rRNA from 1 species